UCCCUGGCAGUCCAGUAGUUAGGACUCUGCACUUUUACUGCUGUGGGUCCAGGUUCGAUCCCUGGUUGGGGAA
rnacentral:tRNA from 1 species